rnacentral:rRNA from 1 species
AUGAGAGGAAGAGCAUACAAUAUACGAAUAGAUGAUCAAGUCUUGCUUCGUUUCUCACCAAAGAACUCUGACUCAACUUAUUACUUUGGUGAUAUGAUUGGUGGAGCACUCACUUUUUUUCAUGGAACUGGAACGCGGAGAUGUCUAGAAAUAUCUAUAACCUUGGAAACAUCAGAAACAAUUAAUCCUCGUGUAAUACACCAUUCACGAAGGGUCUCACCGACAAUAACCAAGGUACACAUCGAAUAUCAUGAAGUUGUUGCAGAUCUUCACCAGACAAGUUUUCUCUUUUCAAUUCCUAUUGAUGGACCAAUGUCAUUUUCUACCUCCAAGGUUUCUAUACAGUGGUCCCUUAGAUUUGAGUUCUUCACAACUCCGGAAGGAAUGGACUCAUCGAGGUAUGAGCACCCACUUCUUGUUGAGAAAAGAGAGAAAGGGGACUGGGUCCUCCCAAUAACAGUUUAUGCACCUCCAAUGCGUAGACGAGCUACUCAUAGAAGAAACGACAAAUCUGCGUUAGUUGGAAAUCUGUUCAACUCUUGA